rnacentral:rRNA from 1 species
GUAGGUGGCAAGCGUUGUCCGGAAUUAUUGGGCGUAAAGCGCGCGCAGGCGGUUCUUUAAGUCUGAUGUGAAAGCCCACGGCUCAACCGUGGAGGGUCAUUGGAAACUGGAGAACCUGAGUACAGAAGAGGAAAGCGGAAUUCCACGUGUAGCGGUGAAAUGCGUAGAGAUGUGGAGGAACACCAGUGGCGAAGGCGGCUUUCUGGUCUGUAACUGACGCUGAGGCGCGAAAGCGUGGGGAGCAAACAGGGAUUAGAUACCCUGGUAGUCCACGCCGUAAACGAUGAGUGCUAAGUGUUAGGGGGUUUCCGCCCCCCUUAGUGCUGCAGCUAACGCAUUAAGCACUCCGCCUGGGGAGUACGGCCGCAAGGCUG